GCACUGGUGGUUCAGUGGUAGAGUUUUUGCCUUCCACAUGGGAGGCCCAGGUUUGAUUCCCAGCCAGUGCA
rnacentral:tRNA from 1 species